UGUUUAACAUGAACAUUGACCCUGAAGGGGUGAUUUUGUUUUUGAAAGAGACAACAUUCCUUUGGAUGAAUAAGUUCAGGUACAUUUGUGGGAAAAACAAAACACCAGCAAAUAUUUCGCUUUAUUGGCAAGCGGUACUUAAUUUUCCUAGGAGAAACAGUUAUAUGGACAAGCUAUAUGUUUUAAGAAGCAUGGACUCCAAAAGACACAAACAAUUCAUUAACUUUUGAUUUACAAACAGUUUUGAGUCAAAAAUUUCCAAUGGCUUCACAACCAGCUAUCAAAAGAAUUCUGUCUGGGAGUUCCCACCGUGGCUUCGCAGAAACGAAUCUGACUUGCAUCCGUAACUAUGUAGGUUUGAUCCCUAGCAUGGCUCAGUGGGUUAAGGACCCAGCGUUGCAGGCCAGCGGCUACAGCUCCAAUUUGACCCCUAACCUGAGAACCUCCAUGUGUAGCAGUUUGGUCCUAAAUAGAUGAAAACAACAACAACAAAGAAUUGUGGGGGGCUACCCGCAAAACCAAAUUAUCCCGAGGUAUUUUAGGGUGCCCAUGGAAGCCACAUCUGCUAGAAAGCUGACCUGAAACCACUGCAGACCAAAAGACCCUGCAGUGGGGUCUUGGUUCACUAUUGUGGCAUGGGUUCAAUCCCUGGCCUUGGAAACUCUACAUGCCUUGGGUGUUGCCCUGCACCCCCAAAAAAAGGAUAAAAAAAAAAGCUUAUAAAGACGGAAAAAGUGAGGCUUGAUGAGAUUUGUUAAGAACAAAUUAACAAAUCAGAAUAAAACAUUUUAUCAAUAGCCUUUAGGUACAAGUACAUAAGGUAUCAUAAAGAAACUGUUGUGGUUAUUCACGUCAAAACAUACGCAAAAUAAAACCUAAACAUUCCAUUUUUGCUUGACUUAAAAUCUAGCCUGCUGAAAAAAAUAGCUUACUUACUUUAAAAUGGUUAUCAUGAAACUAAUUUAAAGUUAGUUCUGUGCUUUUAAAAACAUCCGAUAUUGCUUGGGGGCUGGAGGAGAGGGCUGUAAAAAAGUACAUACGGCCAGCAAAUUCCAGUUCUAGGAAUUUACCCCAAGGAAAUAAUUAGCAGUUAGGAUGGGUUCAAGAGGUUAUCAAUACAGUUUACCACAAGUGUUGAUAGUAGUGAAAAUUGAAAACAGCUUCAAUAUCUAAAUGGUUGAAUGGUUGAAUUAUGGUAUACCCAUUCAGAGAAAUAUUAUGCAAGUGAGAAUAACAUUAUAGAAUUAAAUUUAUUGACACAGAAAGAUUUAUGAGGAGUUCCCGUCGUGGUGCAGCGGAAAUGAACCUGACUAGGAACCGUGAGGUUGCAGAUUCAAUCCCUGGCCUUGCUCAGUGGGUUAAGGAUCCCGCAUUGCCGUGAGCUGUGGUGUAGGUCGCAGACGUGGCUCAGAUCCCGCGUUGCUGUGGCUCUGGUGUAGGCCAGUGGCUACAGCUCCGAUUAGACCCCUGGCCUGGGAACCUCUAUGUGCUGCGGGUGCGGCCCUAAUAAGACAAAAGACAAAAGGCAAAAAAAAAAAAAAAAGAAAAAAGAAAGCAUCAAAAAGACUGAAAAAAAAAAAAAAAUGACAGAUAAUAGGAACUGUGGGUGAGGAUGCAGAGAAACUGGAGCCUUCCUACAUUGCGGGCAGGAAUGUAAAAUAGUGCAGCUGCUUUGGAAAACAAUUUGCCAGUUCCUCAAAAGGUUAGACACGGAGUUACCACAUGACCCAGAAAUCCUACUCCACAGUACCUACCCAAGAAUGAAAAUAUAUGACCAUUCAAAAACUUGUGCCCAAAUGUUCAUAGCAAUAUUAUUCAUAAUAGCACAAAAGGGGAAACAACCCAAAUGGCCACGAAACGAAGAAUGGAUGAACAAAAUGUGGCAUAUCCAUUCCAUGAAAUAGUCAACAAUAAAAAGGAACCAAACACGGAUACAUGCUUCCACAUGCAUGAACCUUGAAAACAUUAUGCUCAGUGAAAGAAUCCAGACACAAAAGACCACGUGCCAUCUGACUCCAUGUAUACGUAAUGUCCAGAACAGGCAGAUCUGCAGACAAAUGUAGAUCAAUGGUUCCCAGGGGCUGGGAGGUUUGCUAGAAAUGGCGAGUGACAGCUGAUGCAUUUGGAGUUUCUACAGGGGACAGUGAAAACAUCAUAAACCCACCUGUGAUGAUGAUUGUGCAAUUCUGUGAAUAUACUAAAAAGCAUUGAAUUGUGUAUUUUAAAUAGGUAAAGUGUAUGACAUAUGAAUUAUAUCUCAAUAAAGCUGUUAAAAUGUUAAUAAAGGUAAUGCCUGGGUAAUAGAAUUAUAGGUUUGUUGUGGUUUUUUGGUUUUUUUCGAUUUAGACUAUACUUUCCAACUUUUUUUUUUUUACAACAAAUAUACUUUGAGAGAUUUGUUUGUUUGUUUGUUUAUAUUUUAUGGCUGCACCAGCAGCAUAUGGAAAUUCCCAGGUCAGGGACUGGAUCCAAGCUGCAGUUGUGGCAACACCAGAUCCUUUAACCCACUGCAGCAGCCAAGGAUCAAACCCACACUUCCACAGCAACCCAAGCUACUGCCAUCAGGUUCUUAAUCCAUGGUGCCACAGCGGGAACUCUGAGAGUUUCUUUUUUUUUUUUCCAAAUCUUCCCAUGUUAUCAUACAGAAGACACCAAACACAAAAGAUUUGAAGAAAAGGAAACCCAUCUUUCCAAUAACAGCAGGAAAGCUGGAAACAACCCAUAGGACCACGGUAGGGUGAUCACUAGGCAAAGCAUGGCUUAUUACCACAUCAACCCUGGUCAGUGAAGAUCCCAGUGACCAACCUGGGGCUGGGCACAAAAGGCCCAAAUGCUUUCUGCGUCAAUGAGGGUUUACUCGGAUGCUACCAAAAGUGACAAAUGCAGUGGUGCACUCAGAACAUUUCCCAAACAGAUCACACGAAACACUGUGAGGAAAAACUGAACAAAGAUACAGAAGACUUUUUUUUACACUGUUUUACUCGCUGUGUGUUUGUACACGAACAAAGAUCAUAAGAAUCAGAAAGGAUGCAAAGACCGUGUGAAAGUAACUUAAAAUUUUAAAAAGUAAUGCAAGCAAGAACCUUAGGAUUUUUUUUUUUUUUAAGUCCUACUUUUCCCAAUCCGUAUCUGGCCUGUUGCACUCAUUUAAAUAUCUCUGGGCAUGUGCUGCUCUGAGGCAGGCAAGUCUGAAACCAACCAUGGGAUAGAGUAAAGAUAAAGAUAGGAGGGAAAAAAAUCCCCAGGCCCUGGGAAACAGAGCCAACCGGCAUGUUUAUUAUUCACAGCCUAUGAUUCACUGUCCCUAUUUUUUCAGCCAGCAUCACACUCUAAUCACAUUGCUAGGUUACAGGCCCCAAGUUAUGUGGCAUAAUAAAAACCAAAUCCAUUAAAAUGAUACAUGAGGCUUUUCUCCCCUAUAUCAUCUCUUCAGGGAGAAUAUUUGAUCCCUGUAAAACAUACACAACAUUGAACCUAAAGAUUACUUUGGAUUCCCAAACCAGAGAGGUUUCCGAUGAAAAUGAAACAGCUAUCCAGUGAUUCUUCAACCCGAGAAAGGGAGUCAACCUUGGAGGCAGGCAAAUACCUACUCCUCCCGCUUCAGGAAUCCUGUCUACCAUCGAACUCCCUCAAGGAUUCCUCUCAUAGACAUUUCCUCCUGCGCUCUGAGAAGCUUUCCUACCGGGAGAGCCUCCUGAGCUGGCGAGUUAAGGAAACAACACAAACACACGUGCACAACUACAGGCUAACUGCAGACGCGCAGUGCACAGAAUGGGAGCGGAACAAAACACUUCUCGCGGCCGCACAGCAAAUACUUGACGUUUCCUGGGAGGAUAAUUCACCCAGGGGAUAACUAACUAUCCGAAUAAGUGAUGAGCAAGACCGUUUCCAGCGAAGACCCCCGUCUCAGACGACAGUCUCGCUGUGUUCCUGAGCGCACGCGGUCCGCGGUUCUCAGCGAUGGUGUCUAUUGCCCUCGACGACCAAAACGUCCGCCGAGUAAAAGAAAUGGCAUAUGCCGUCGCUGCAAGUGCUUUGCCUCACAUGCCACCAACUCUCGGGCACUUGAAAGAAGUGACACCCAAACGCUGUACAGUGAGGACCACAGGGCAGCGAGGAUGUGACAGCCAUGAUGCAACACAAGCCAAGAUCCGGGUCUAGGAAGGAGGGGGAAACCUCGUUGACUGAAUAAGCACAUUCUGGAUUAACCUAAGAAAGCCUCAAGUGCUUCCUAACACCGAGGUAACUGCACUGUGGAUCUGAGAGCCUAGAGUUUCAGCUCGUGGAUGAGUCAAUGUCUGGCUCAGACAUACACUGAAGGAAAAUCAAAAUAUUGCCUCCACUGCACUCCAGUUACUUCAUCAAUCACAAAGAAACAGCAUCACAAAAAUGUUCUUUGCCUAGGCAUAGUAUAACAUUUUAAAAAUGAUGACUUAGGAAAAAAAACACCUUUGGGGGUAGCAAGAAUUCACAUUAUCAUCUAUGAGGUACCAGGUCCCGUCACACGUGUUCGUGUGUUAGCUGUCCCCAUUUCACAGAUCAGGAAACAGAGUCUCCAAGACUCUGAGGGCACGGCUAGCAAGGGACCCGACAGAACUCAGAUUUGCCUCAUUUUACAGCCAGGACCUUCUGCACACCAUCACUGCUGCCCAGCUUAACAGCAAACCCUGCAACAGGUUUCACUUAAGAAUAUUAAAACGAUAAUUCCCACUAUGGCUGAGGAAUUGAAAUUUUUACUAGUAGUCAACUUCGGAGUCAAAUUCGGACCUCUUUCCCUAAAAAGUAGUUACACUAAAACAUAACCUUUUGAUAAGGGUCUGGACUAUUUUACCAUGAACUCAGAGAAGUCUGGAUUUCUAAAUACAAUUUGGAAAUAUUUACAUGAACUGAAACUAUAGUCCUAACUAAAGCUAAAUAGUUUUGGCUCUUUAGCCAAAGUUAUUCAAAAACUAAAACACGAGAAUCCAGUGAAAGAUUAGCAAAUGAAAAGAUGUGGCAAAGAAAACCAUACACACAAAGUCCUGAUGAUAUGGAAGGAAUGACUCUCAGGUCACACAUUUUGGUCAUUCCCUUUACAUUAUUAUUUGUGAACAGAUGCCAGGCAGCAGUUAACCAGCGCAAGAUAAAAUGUUCAAGUUCAAAACCUGACCCUAGUUGUGAAAGUGAAUUUUUUUUCUUAGAUAAGAAACUGAACUUACAUGAGUUUUAUUGUGAAGUGUGUACAAACUUUCCUUAAAAAAAAAAAAAACACGCUGCAUUUGAAAAAGGGGGCCUCACAUUACUUCAGCUGUUUCCAAAUGCUUGUUACCUCAAGAGCAGACUAUUAUUUACCGAAAAUGCACAACCUCGGAAAAGUUCAUGCUGUGGCACUCAGGUACACACGUGCCAAUCCUCCAUCCGGACAUCUGGUACCUGAUAUACCAUAUUAGAAAGUACACAGUGGAGGUCAUUAAACAGAACCUGCUCCAGUGCGCCAUGCCCACAUCCUGAACAAUAGUUUCUUGUUUUGUUUUCUUUCUUUUUUUUUUUUUUUAAACCACUCGCUCAUUUAGGUUCUUCCAGCCAGAAGGGAAAAAAAAGCCAAAUCUGUCCACAAAAUGUCCUCCUAGCCACGGUGCCCAAAUCCACAGCCUGAGUAAAGGCCUGAAAUAGUUAAAUAAAUAGAAGAGCAACCCAGGCUCUUCUCUCCAGAAAAGAAAUGAAAAGACGUUUCAGACAGUCCCAUGGUGCUCUCCCGUGAGGUGGAGACCUUCCGUUUGAAGUUUCCAAGAGGUUUCACCGCUGUCCCAUAUGGGGGUCUUGAAAAACACUCCAACGCCCACCAUUUAACCUACUUCACCAAGGCUUGCUGCCCGAAAGGAAGCCCGCUGCCUCCAAUGCCAAGAAACCUGGAGCAGGUAAGCAGAAUCGAGGUCUGGGCUAAAACUGCUUACCCCCUUCCAGCUGCCUUCAUUUCCCAAAGUUCUUGCAUUUUGGAAAGUUCAAACGCGGAUAAUAAAUGCAACACAUUCUCUCCCCCUUGAUUACAGGGCCCGUUCUGCCCUUUCUCCGCGGCCACCGCCAGGCAGGGCAGGCGCCCACCUGUGGGAAGGGUCCGGCAGGUGGGGCGGCUCCCAAGGGUCCCGGGCCUUCCGGAGACAAGAGGUGCCGCUGGGGCGACACAAAGUUGCGCCAGAGAG
rnacentral:lncRNA from 1 species